AAGCCGGGUGGACAUCGCUGAGGCUUGGAAAAGAUUUCCUCCGGGGAAAAUCCCUCCGGAGUUCUCCAGUCUGGUGUCAGGUGGGUCGGCUGGAUUUUCCUUUGGCCCGAGUGUCUUCCUUAGACUCCAAACCCUGGACGUGAUAGGGUGUGGGGUGACUACUGCUGGGGAGCCUGGUGCCCCACUUCCUGAGCUGUAAACCAUCUGGUUGCUUCCACUCCAGUCUUUACUCAGUGGCUGCCACUUGUGAGAAGUGAGGUAGAGAGGCUAGCGCUGUCAGUGUGACAAAUUGAGGUGUUUAGCUUAUAUGACUUGCUCCCUUACCAGGAAACGGUUUCUUCUUUUAUUCCUCAAAGCCUACUCACAAAUAGAAAUAUAAAACCAUUUCUUGUGUUUGGGAAGUCUUCCAUCCAAAAAGAAAAACAAAGGCAAAAACAAACAAAACCAAACAACCAAAAUCCAGCACUAUUUCAUCUUUUUACUGUAAACACCUUUCUACUUAGAUAACUGUUCAGUACGAUGUUUGGCGCAAAUAUCUCAUAUUUGUGAGCGAUAUAGUUCCACGAUCCUACACGCACCAGGAUACUACAAUCUGUAAUUGUCCCUUAUAUUAUUAGUGUAAUAUAUAUAACACCGACAUUUCCUUCCCUAUACUCUAGUUCUUAAUAGUUUUUUACAAGUCUACAUUCUAAGAUUAUGUUUUCUUGGGCUGGAGUCAUGGGUAAGCCGUUAAGAGGGCUUGUUCUUCCAGAGGAUCUGAGGUUUGUUAUCAGUACUCGAAUCUAGUAGCUCACAGCUGCCUGCUCUCCAGCUCCAGGGAAUCUGACCAACACUUCUGGCUUCUGCAGGCAACACACAUACACAUAAACAAAAUACAAAAAUAUAAAAAUAUGUACUUACAAUAUAAUGUGUAUAUAUCUCAACUAAGAAUAUAUAUACGUAUACAUGCUGUAUGUAUGUAUGUAUAUAUACACACAUAUAGGGAUUUUGUAAGUAUAUACAUUUAAUUUUCAUAAUCAAUUAAUGAUAGAAAUCUUAAGACAUUAACAUUGAAGUAAAUGUACUGGAGAAAAACUUAGACAAAAUAGACAAAUUAGCCUCAAAAAUAAACAUCACAUCUAUACUUUGAAUUCAUUUAUUCAAAGUCCUACAAAAUUAUACCUGAAUGUUAUUAAGAAUAAAGUUUAUUUAUGCCUUAUUACAUUAGUCUAGGAAAUAGCAGCUUUAAGACAUUCAUAUCUCAUUUAGAAAUAAGAUACACACUUUUGCAAAAGAAGGCACUUUUUCAAAACCAGCACAGUUCCAAGUCAAGUGCAGUGGUAUUGGUACCCGCUUAUGUUACCAUCCAGGGUCAUGGACUGAGUUCAGUUUUUCCCAACAAUUAAAGAAUUAAAAGAC
rnacentral:lncRNA from 1 species